rnacentral:miRNA from 1 species
GCAGACACAUUCCAGCCAAUCAGCAGCAGACCCUCUCUCCCAGACCCUCCCACCUCCUGGACAGCUCACUAAGAAUGCAGCUUCACAAUGAAUGUAAAAUGGAUGCUGUCCAGGAGGUGGGAGGGUCUGGGAGGGAGGGUCUGCUGCUGAUUGGCUGGAAAGUGUCUG